rnacentral:rRNA from 1 species
GAGUAACACGUGGGUAACCUGCCCAUCAGAAGGGGAUAACACUUGGAAACAGGUGCUAAUACCGUAUAACAAUCGAAACCGCAUGGUUUUGAUUUGAAAGGCGCUUUCGGGUGUCGCUGAUGGAUGGACCCGCGGUGCAUUAGCUAGUUGGUGAGGUAACGGCUCACCAAGGCCACGAUGCAUAGCCGACCUGAGAGGGUGAUCGGCCACAUUGGGACUGAGACACGGCCCAAACUCCUACGGGAGGCAGCAGUAGGGAAUCUUCGGCAAUGGACGAAAGUCUGACCGAGCAACGCCGCGUGAGUGAAGAAGGUUUUCGGAUCGUAAAACUCUGUUGUUAGAGAAGAACAAGGAUGAGAGUAACUGUUCAUCCCUUGACGGUAUCUAACCAGAAAGCCACGGCUAACUACGUGCCAGCAGCCGCGGUAAUACGUAGGUGGCAAGCGUUGUCCGGA